AGCGGAGGAAAAGAAACCAACAGGGAUUGCCCUAGUAACGGCGAGUGAACAGGCAAGAGCUCAGAUUUGAAAGGCACUUUUGUGCCGUUGUAUUCUGAAGUUAGGGUCCUGAGAAACGAUGCUUAAGUCUUCUGGAAAGGAGCGCCAUGGAGGGUGAUAGCCCCGUCUAGCAUUGACCUCAUAUAGGAUCUUAACAUGGAGUCGAGUUGUUUGGGAAUGCAGCUCAAAUGGGUGGUAUGCUCCAUCUAAAGCUAAAUAUCUGCGAGAGACCGAUAGUAAACAAGUACUGUGAGGGAAAGAUGAAAAGAACUUUGAAAAGAGAGUGAAAAAGUACGUGAAAUUGUUGAAAUGGAAGGGUAGGCCGCUAACCAUGUAGAGCCGUGUUUGGGGGGAAGAUAAAUGCUGUAGAAUGUAGCUCCUCGGAGUAUUAUAGAUGCAGUUCAUAUUCCCACCCGAGCGCGAGGAUUCUCGUUCUCCUUCCCCGUGG
rnacentral:rRNA from 1 species